CAAGUAAGCCAAGCAAUGUCCCUUUAGACUAAGUUGCCUAACAGUGCUCUAAAGUGCUUAAGUUGUUUAAGAUUUGAGUCCCAUAUCUCAGCAACCCCCCUUCCCCCACAUAUAGGUCAUACUACCAAUAUGCCUUAAGCUUCAGUCUAUAACACGAGUAACAAGCCUACCUAAUUUCUUAUUUUAUUUUAUUAUUUUCUCUUAUUAUGUUUAACAUGAGACCUACAUAUUUAACUAUAAGCAAAAGUGUACUUAGCUAUGACACUCGAAGUUAUAUGUAUACAUGACCUGGCAUGUCGAAAAUACACUCAACUACCAUAUGCCAUAGCCUAACUUGUUUAUACUCUGGCUAUAAGUAACAAUGAGGCAUUGCGAAUCAACAAAUGUUUAAACGUUUAUUGCAUGAUGUAUGAAAUACAAACAUUUUUGUGCAUGUCCAUAUUAGCACCUACCACAUGUCUCGAUGCUAGAGUGUAUUUUAUAGACAGUGCAGUGAACUAGAUCAGUAACAAUCAGUGACCAAAUACUUCUGUGAUUAUAGCCUGCAAACUCCUAGUUAAAUACUGUGUUACUUUACUCUUGCUCAUGUAAGUUUAGUAUAAUUAUUUUAUGUUUGACUAGCUUAUGACAUAGCGUAAAACCCUUCUAUCUAGAAAGAUACAAGCGAUGUUGUUCCGUGUUAUGCUUUGAAAUGCUUAAGCAAAGUAAAUAUAUACUGAUCAUAACACUACUAACCCCAAAAAUGUGCUAGAUCCAAAGUCUACCCUAAUGUUUAAACUGUUUAUCAUGCGCUAGAGGACUGCCUUUGGGGUACCUCACAAGCGACUGUUAUUAUCAUAUGCACAACUAAAAUAAAGAAUUUAAAAAAAACAACACAAAUUAUAGCAAUACAAACACAGAUAGAGGUAGGGGGCGCAGUUUAAGUGAAAUAAUAAGAUAAAAUACUUAUUAACACUUGGUCGUCACAUUUGGAUUCCGCCUAGGUGGAAAAUCAAUACAUAGCAUAAAACUGUUUUUACAUAAAAUAUAAAAAUGGAUAUAAAUAUCUCACUCACACUUUGCAGAGCCACAAUAGUAGGCUCUGACUUUUCAGGCUCUUUUAGAAAUCCCUUGGUUUUUGUCUUCACUCCUCCACUCUGCCAUAUUUAAAAGUCCCAGACUGGGCAUAUCAUGUAAAAUAUGUCCUGGCAUUCAUAUUUUAUAUGCUCUCGUACCCUAGUGGCCACACACCUAGAUGUUUUACCCACAUAUUGUAGGCCACAAGGGCACUCAAGCACAAAUACAACAUUUUUUGUUUUGCAUGUGAUAAAUGUAUCUAUCUUAUAUUUCUUUAAAUUGGUACUUGAAUUAAAGGACAAGAUCUUCUUUUCUUUUAUUUGCGAUGUCCUGCAUCCCAUGCAGUUACCACAAUAAUUAAAACCUUGAAAUAAAUUUUUCUGGCUAUUAAUAAAAUUCUUAUCUUCUUAAUAAAGCUAGAGGUUAAGAUUUGUUUGAGAUUUUGUGCUCCUCUAAAUAUGACCCUAAGUUUAGCUCCUAUAUACGAUGCUAUAUAUCUUACCUUAUCUUGCUUCAAGAGGUGCCAAUUUCUAUUUAAAACACUUUUCAGUUGGGAGUGGUUCUUAUUAAAGUUAAAAAAUUGUGGGAUUGUUCCCAUUUCCUUACCUUCUUUCUUUUGAUUGUAUUUCAAUAUAUCCUCUCUAUUUAGUUUUCCUAUUCUUCAAUUGUAUUAUUCAAGACUCCCUCCUCGUAGCCCUUUUCUAGGAACUGCUUCUUGAGUGAAUUAGCCUGAAGGUUAUAUUUAUCUAUUUCGGAACAGUUCCUUCUAAGUCUUAGAAACGGUCCCCUUGGAAUAUUAUCCAACCAAGGAUGAAAAUGACAACUCUCCUCAAUGAAGCUAUUUACAUCGGCUUGUUUGAAGAAUGUACAUGUUUCAAUUUUAUCACCUUUUGUAUAAAUAUUUAGAUCUAAACAAUUAAUUUCUUUAUUGCUAACUUCAUGGGUCAGUUUAAUAUUCCACUGGUUGACAUUAAGAUAAGUUAAAAAUUGUAAAACUGAGGCUUCACUCCCUUUCCAAAUAAAAUGAAUGUCUUCU